GAGCUCAGUAAUUUCUGUUUCCCAGCUGGCUGCAGCGGGUCAGCCUCUCCAGCAGGGCCUCGAGGUGCCAAAUCCAAACGUCUGGCUCCUUUCGGACUCAUCUGCAGCUCCUGGAAACUUUGCUCUGUGCCUGCAGCAGCCACGGGAGCUGCCGGUGCUCUGAGGAGCAGGCACAGAGCGGGAUGUCCCCAGGGCCAAUUCCUUCCCCGCUGCGGGUGAGAUAGCAAGGAACACGCCGUGCAUCAAACCUUCCUCCUGCAUGAUUACUCCGGAGACACUGCUGGCAGCACAGCCCCCGGCUGGUCUGUAAGGAGCCCAGGCUGUGCAGGAUUCCUGGCUUAGCAGUUUAGCUUUCCCCCAGCUCGGGGGCUGCAGUGCCUGCUGGAGCAAAUCACACCUUGCAGACUGGCGGAGGAUCUGUUUGGCCAAAUUUGAGCGAGAGCUGUGUGCGUGGAUGGAAAGAUGCUCUCAUUUUCAUGCCGGCAAAACUCACAGCCCCCUGUUUAGGGAGGAACCGAUCAAUUAAGUCCUGCACCUCCCAGUGCUCCUGCCCACCCUGGGCCUUUUGGCAAGAGAGGGUCAGAGCCGCCUCCACGCAGCGAGCAGGCGUGAGCAGCAAAGAUUACUCUUAAUCCCCUCUUAAUGCUGAGAACUCCUUCUAGCCUCUCAUUAAACGCUCUGCUGAUUAUUAAUGGACUUUUAUUUAAGAGAGAGGGGAAAAAAAAAAAAAAA